rnacentral:rRNA from 1 species
GAUGAACGCUGGCGGCGUGCCUAAUACAUGCAAGUCGAGCGAACGGACGAGAAGCUUGCUUUUCUGAUGUUAGCGGCGGACGGGUGAGUAACACGUGGAUAACCUACCUAUAAGACUGGGAUAACUUCGGGAAACCGGAGCUAAUACCGGAUAAUAUUUUGAACCGCAUGGUUCAAAAGUGAAAGACGGUCUUGCUGUCACUUAUAGAUGGAUCCGCGCUGCAUUAGCUAGUUGGUAAGGUAACGGCUUACCAAGGCAACGAUGCGUAGCCGACCUGAGAGGGUGAUCGGCCACACUGGAACUGAGACACGGUCCAGACUCCUACGGGAGGCAGCAGUGGGGAAUCUUCCGCAAUGGGCGAAAGCCUGACGGAGCAACGCCGCGUGAGUGAUGAAGGUCUUCGGAUCGUAAAACUCUGUUGUUAGGGAAGAACAUAUGUGUAAGUAACUGUGCACAUCUUGACGGUACCUAAUCAGAAAGCCACGGCUAACUACGUG